rnacentral:misc_RNA from 1 species
GGAAGGAUCAUUAACACGUAUCCACGUUAAACCCCCCGUGCACGUUGAGGAGGACAGACGUCAGGCAUUACAGGUAAGACGCUGUUUUUAUGCUUUGAUCUGGAAACGGAUCAAGGCGAGGAAUGGUGUGCCUGGUGCGCUGAUUCGUUUCUGAUACUGGGCUUGUUAGACUGCUCACAUUUCAGGCAGACGCCAUUUUUAUGCUUCGAUCUGGAAACGGAUCAAGGCGAGGAAUGAUGUGUCUGGUGUGUGCACGAAGGCUUGCUUGGUUCUGAGAAACUCGAAGGGCAUCCAGGAGGCGAGCUACGUUGAUAGGUUCGCCCUCGAGGUUGUUGACUGCUUUUGUCGGUGCUUGAGAUUGGGGGAAGAUCCGGAGACCAUCCGGUGACCUGUCUAACCGCAAGUGUCGGCAGGGGUGGUUGACGAUUAAGAGGCGUUGAGUAGUGAGUCUGCCCAUAUUAUUGAUUACCCCCUACCCCAAAAAAAAGACAAAUCAUAUGUCCGUACUGGUGCAAACCGGGACAUUUAACGUAACCCGAACAACUGUUAACAAUGGAUAUCUUGGUUCUCGCAACGAUGAAGAACGCAGCGAAAUGCGAUACGUAAUGCGAAUUGCAGAAUUCAGUGAAUCAUCGAAUCUUUGAACGCAAAUUGCGCUCUCGGGGUUCCCCCUGAGAGCACACCUCGCUGACUAUCGGUUUAAAACAAGUAUCCCACCUUUUGGUGGUGAUAAUCAUUGAGCGUUAGGCAUGCCCCUUUGGGGAGUGUGUCUAUCGCUUUAAAUACAGUCAUUCUACUCAUUGAAUGGCUCUUGCAAGUUGGUUUCACUUCGGUGAAUCAGAUUUACAAGGGUCAUCCGACGGUCUUUGGAGUGAUGGAGAUGCUUAGGUAAUGGUCGUUUUUGAAUUCACUGAGCUUAACGGGCUUGCGAACGAGAGAUGCGAAUGUGAAAACAUUAUGCAUCACUUGGUUGAAAGCAAUGUGAGCUUGGGGUUACUAGAAGACAAAACCGCUACUCGAGCGCCUCUGGAUCGACAAUUUCAGUUGGCCUUGAGGUAUAAGUUUGCUGGAAAGUGAAAGCGAAGAACGAAGUUCUCAAGUCAUGAAGUUUUCCUGGCGAACAACUCUAGCCGGAGAGCACGCGGACUUGAGCGUGGAGUUUUUCAAACCCCUUGAAUUAGAUGUCAGCUGAAGUGAGAAAACCCCCUGAAUUUAAGCAUAUUAUUAAGGGGAGGAAAAGAAACUAACAAGGAUUCCCCUAGUAACGGCGAGUGAAGCGGGAAGAGCUCAAACUUGAAAUCCGCUGGCGUAACAACCUGCGGACUUGUAGCCUAGAGACACUCUCUCAGUGCUGGACCGGUUAUAAAUCCCUUGGAACGGGGUAUCAUAGAGGGUGAGAAUCCCGUCUUUGAGCUGGAUCCAAGUACGUACGAGGAGUGUUCCAAGAGUCGUGUUGCUUGGGAGUGCAGCACUAAAUGGGUGGUAAAGUUCAUCUAAAGCUAAAUACUGGCGAGAAACCGAUAGCGAACAAGUACCGUGAGGGAAAGAUGAAAAGAACUUUGAAAAGAGAGUUAAAAAGUACUUGAAAUUGUUAACAGGGAAGGGCAGGAAACCAGUAAUUCUUGGGUGUACUUGCGGACGCUUAACGGCUGCCGUUACUUGCAUUCGGGAGAGUCAUCAUCAUUUAGAGUCGUUGGAGAAAGCGUAGAGGUUGGUGCCACUCCAUCGUGUUUGGUUUAGCCUUUACGUCCUACAUUGGCUCUGAAUGAGGAAGAGAACCCGCACCCUUCGGGGUACGGCGCCUUGUUGCCUGUUUGUCCUAGUGCUUGAGAGAACAAAGUUCUGUCGGCGCGAAAGGCGAACACUGCGGCGGGUGCGUCAGUUGCUGGGUUCGCGAUGAUGACGAAAUGGUUUUCUUCCACCCGUCUUGAAACACGGACCAAGGAGUCUAACAUAUAUGCGAGUAUUUGGGUGACAAACCCUGAUGCGCAAUGAAAGUAAAGUGGUGCAAACCAUGAGGUGGGAAUCUUACCUUCGGGUGGGAGGCACCAUCGACCGAUCGAUCGCUUGCGAAAGAUUUGAGUAAUAGCAUGUAUGUUGGGACCCGAAAGAUGGUGAUCUAUGCCUGAACAGGGUGAAGCCAGGGGAAACUCUGGUGGAAGCUCGUAGCGAUACUGACGUGCAAAUCGUUCGUCUGAUUUGGGUAUAGGGGCGAAAGACUAAUCGAACCAUCUAGUAGCUGGUUCCCUC